GUCGACGAUGACGGCCGUGCUUGCACGGUCUGAUUAGUGGCGAACGGGUGAGUAACACGUGAGUAACCUGCCCUCCACUUCGGGAUAACCUCGGGAAAUCGUGGCUAAUACCGGAUAUGAGCACUCAUCGCAUGGUGGGUGUUGGAAAGAUUUAUCGGUGGGGGAUGGACUCGCGGCCUAUCAGUUUGUUGGUGAGGUGAUGGCUCACCAAGACGAUGACGGGUAGCCGGCCUGAGAGGGCGACCGGCCACACUGGGACUGAAACACGGCCCAGACUCCUACGGGAGGCAGCAGUGGGGAAUAUUGCACAAUGGGCGAAAGCCUGAUGCAGCGACGCCGCGUGAGGGAUGACGGCCUUCGGGUUGUAAACCUCUUUCAGUAGGGAAGAAGCGAAAGUGACGGUACCUGCAGAAGAAGCGCCGGCUAACUACGUGCCAGCAGCCGCGGUAAUACGUAGGGCGCAAGCGUUGUCCGGAAUUAUUGGGCGUAAAGAGCUUGUAGGUGGCUUGUCGCGUCUGCCGUGAAAACCCGAGGCUCAACCUCGGGCGUGCGGUGGGUACGGGCAGGCUAGAGUGUGGUAGGGGAGACUGGAACUCCUGGUGUAGCGGUGAAAUGCGCAUAUAUCACGAAGAACACCGAUGGCGAAGGCAGGUCUCUGGGCCAUUACUGACACUGAGAAGCGAAAGCAUGGGUAGCGAACAGGAUUAGAUACCCUGGUAGUCCAUGCCGUAAACGUUGGGCACUACGUGUGGGGG
rnacentral:rRNA from 1 species